UACAGAGGGUGCGAGCGUUAAUCGGAAUUACUGGGCGUAAAGCGUGCGUAGGUGGUUUGCUAAGUCAGGUGUGAAAUCCCCGGGCUCAACUCGGGAACUGCAUCUGAUACUGGCUAGCUAGAGUUUGGUAGAGGGAAGUGGAAUUCCACGUGUAGCGGUGAAAUGCGUAGAUAUGUGGAGGAACACCAGUGGCGAAGGCGGCUUCCUGGACUAAAACUGACACUGAGGCACGAAAGCGUGGGGAGCAAACAGG
rnacentral:rRNA from 1 species